CGGGGUGUAGCGCAGGUUGGUAGCGCAUCUGUUUUGGGAACAGAGGGUCGCAGGUUCAAAUCCUGUCACCCCGA
rnacentral:tRNA from 1 species